rnacentral:rRNA from 1 species
AGCGAACGCUGGCGGUAGGCCUAACACAUGCAAGUCGAACGGCAGCACAGUAAGAGCUUGCUCGUACGGGUGGCGAGUGGCGGACGGGUGAGGAAUACAUCGGAAUCUACUUUUUCGUGGGGGAUAACGUAGGGAAACUUACGCUAAUACCGCAUACGACCUACGGGUGAAAGCAGGGGAUCUUCGGACCUUGCGCGAUUGAAUGAGCCGAUGUCGGAUUAGCUAGUUGGCGGGGUAAAGGCCCACCAAGGCGACGAUCCGUAGCUGGUCUGAGAGGAUGAUCAGCCACACUGGAACUGAGACACGGUCCAGACUCCUACGGGAGGCAGCAGUGGGGAAUAUUGGACAAUGGGCGCAAGCCUGAUCCAGCCAUACCGCGUGGGUGAAGAAGGCCUUCGGGUUGUAAAGCCCUUUUGUUGGGAAAGAAAAGCAGCAGGUUAAUACCCCGCUGUUCUGACGGUACCCAAAGAAUAAGCACCGGCUAACUUCGUG